rnacentral:rRNA from 1 species
ACGGAGGAUGCGAGCGUUAUCCGGAUUUAUUGGGUUUAAAGGGUGCGUAGGUGGACUGUUUAGUCAGUGGUGAAAUGCUGAUGCUCAACGUUAGCAUUGCCGUUGAAACUGACAGUCUUGAGAGUGAUUGAGGCAGGCGGAAUGUGUGGUGUGGGGGAGAAAUCAAAAGAACCCACGCAGACCCCCAAUGGCGAAGGUAUCUUGCAAAGCCACAACUGACACUGAAGCACGAAAGCGUGGGGAUCAAACAG